GGGAGCCUUGCAACUACCUGGAUGCAGUGCGGCCGUUUGCUACAGAGGAGGAGUACCAGGUGACUGCAGCCAUAGUGAAGAGGUUUGGAGAGGGAUCGGCAAAGACCUGCACCAAAACUACUGCAGAGAGCCAGGACAGCAGGAACUGGUUGGAGGAGUGGUGGUUGAAUGCAGCCUAUCUGGAAUUACGUUAUCCCUCCCAGUUGAAUGUGAACUUCGGAGGGCCUGCACCCUACCUAGAGCACUGCUGGCCCCCUACAGAGGGAGUACAGCUACAGAGGACCAGCAUUAGCAUGUGGCACA